rnacentral:rRNA from 1 species
GACGAACGCUGGCGGCGUGCUUAACACAUGCAAGUCGAACGGAAAGACCCUGCUUGUGUGGGGUGCUCGAGUGGCGAACGGGUGAGUAACCCGGGAGUAACCUGGCCUUGACUUUGUGAUAACCUCAGGCAACUGCUGCUAAUACCUGAUAGGAGCUCCUGCUGCAUGGUGGUGGUUGGACCGUUUAGGUGGUUAGGGAUGGACUCGCGGCUAAUCAGCUUGUUGGGUGGGUAGUUGCUUACCAAGGCUUUGGCGGGUAGCCGGCAUGAGAGGGUGAACAGGCACCAUGGUCCUGAGGUAGGGCGCAGACGCGUAUGGGAGGCAGCAGGGGAGAGUAUGACACAGUGAGCGCAAGUGUGAUGCGGAAACGCUGCGUGCGGAAAGCCGGCCUUGUGGUUGUAAACCGCUUUCGCCUGAGACGAAGCGUGAGUGACGGUAAUAAGUAAAGAAGCACCGGCUAACUACGUG